rnacentral:pre_miRNA from 1 species
ACAAGGGAAAAAGUGAAGCUGCCAGCAUGAUCUAUCUUUGGUUAGUGAAAUUUAUAUACAAGGGAUAUGUUGCUAACCCUAGCUAGGUCAUGCUCUGACAGCCUCACUCCUUCCUACU